AUUGAACGCUGGCGGCAUGCCUUACACAUGCAAGUCGAACGGCAGCACGGGUGCUUGCACCUGGUGGCGAGUGGCGAACGGGUGAGUAAUACAUCGGAACGUACCUUAUCGUGGGGGAUAACGCAGCGAAAGUUGCGCUAAUACCGCAUACGCCCUGAGGGGGAAAGCGGGGGACCGUAAGGCCUCGCGCGAUUAGAGCGGCCGAUGUCUGAUUAGCUUGUUGGUGAGGUAAAGGCUCACCAAGGCGAUGAUCAGUAGCUGGUCUGAGAGGACGAUCAGCCACACUGGGACUGAGACACGGCCCAGACUCCUACGGGAGGCAGCAGUGGGGAAUUUUGGACAAUGGGGGCAACCCUGAUCCAGCAAUGCCGCGUGAGUGAAGAAGGCCUUCGGGUUGUAAAGCUCUUUUGUCAGGAAGAAACAGCAGCUCUAACACAGUCUGCGAAUGACGGUACCUGAAGAAUAAGCACCGGCUAACUACGUGCCAGCAGCCGCAGUAA
rnacentral:rRNA from 1 species